rnacentral:rRNA from 1 species
GACGAACGCUGGCGGCGUGCUUAACACAUGCAAGUCGAACGGUGAAGCGCCUUCCUUUUUGGUGGGUGUGGAUGAGUGGCGAACGGGUGAGUAACACGUGAGUAACCUGCCCCCUUCUUCUGGAUAACCGCAUGAAAGUGUGGCUAAUACGGGAUAUUCUGGGUCUGUCGCAUGAUGGGUCUGGGAAAGAUAUUGUUUCGGUGGGGGAUGGGCUCGCGGCCUAUCAGCUUGUUGGCGGGGUGAUGGCCUACCAAGGCGGUGACGGGUAGCCGGCCUGAGAGGGUGGACGGUCACACUGGGACUGAGACACGGCCCAGACUCCUACGGGAGGCAGCAGUGGGGAAUAUUGCACAAUGGGCGCAAGCCUGAUGCAGCGACGCCGCGUGAGGGAUGGAGGCCUUCGGGUUGUGAACCUCUUUCGCCAGUGAAGCAGGCCUGCCUCGUUUGUGGGUGGGUUGACGGUAGCUGGAUAAGAAGCGCCGGCUAACUACGU